AAACUGAGCUCUUCUCUCUUCUCCUGCUUCUCAACACAGUUAAAGCAGAUGGAUGAUUCCUGGCUGCACCCAUGCCCAGCCAGCCCAGCCAUUGAGGAUGCCCAUCAAGGAGACUGUGCUCCCUGGAGUCCAUGUGCCAAGCAGAAGUUGCCCACUCAUUGCCCUUUGUACAGCUGAUCUUCAUAGUGACCUGCUCAUUCUCACCUUAUGAUGACUCUGAGAGUUUCCUGGUGGAGGUUGAGGGUAGCCAGAAACCACCACAAGCCACUAACAGAACUUCUACCCUGUAGACAGGACAAGUGAAUGAGGGCCUCCAUGAUGGUUAAUCUUGGUUGUCAACUUGCUGGGUUGAGGGACAUGUAAAAAAUUGUAAAGCAUACUUCUGGGUGUGGCCACAAGGGUGUUUCCUGGGAGGAUGGCCAUGUGGGUCAGCGAAUUGAGUAGGGAAGACACCUCUGAGAGUGGAUGGCACCAUCUAAUAAGUUGGGGCCCAGAUGAAACAAAAAGAGGAAGAAGAGAGAAGCUCAUGUGCUCACAUUCUCAACUCUUCUGAAGUGGGUACUGCUGUCACCAUACGCAUCAGAUUUCAGAUUCCUCAGCCUUUGAACAUGGACUUGCACCA
rnacentral:lncRNA from 1 species